rnacentral:lncRNA from 1 species
UGAACAGACACCUCUGGUGGAGAGAUGCACUGGCAGCACAGUGCCAGCCAGUAGAGGAAUUGAGAGAGUUUUUCCCUGGUGCCAGCACCAACUAAAAAAGGAAAAACCUUUGCCUUUGCCAUCCUCCCACAGUUUCUACAACAAGACAAAAGACGCUGUGUUACUCCCUCUCUUUUUCUGGCUCUGUGUGGCAAUACAUGUUUAGCUUUUCAGUAACACUAGAGUAACUUCAUGUUGGUGCCUCUGAGUUUUCAGUACAUAAACUCAUGAGAAAACAUGAGGGAAAAUCAUCCUUCUUAAAUUCUUCAUAUUUUGUGAAAAACAUCUAAAUUCCUACUACUCAGCAAUGGUGGCAGUGUGUCACUAGGACAACCUAUUUUUAACCUCUUUCUUUAUUUGUUUUCUAGCAUAUUCAACUAAGCUUAACAAUUUAAUUCUGAUGAUGUCAUCAAGUACUUGCAUAUCAGGUGCUGUGAGCCCCAACACCAGCAAGGCUAUCCCCGUGCUCUCAGUGUGUGGAAAUACUGGUGCAUGACCAAAGGACUAAGAGAUUACAUGGACAUCACUAAGAUCCCAGCAGUGAAGGGAUCAGGACAUCAUACUGACAUUCCUGAAGCCCUGCCUCUGAGUUUAUCACUGGAAUAAGGUACAAAGGAGCAUGGGGGAGCAUUUCCAUUACUAUAAAUUGAUUUUUUUUUUUUUUUUUUUUUGGUGAUUGCUCUAGUAAUGCUUAGCUGAAAGGAAGAUCAGUACCAAAGGCUGAAUGAACAGUUAUUUGUGCCUAUUAAUGACUUCCUGGGCUUAGGAACCUGUCUUAUGUCAAGACACUGCUGUGUCAGCUGAUGAGGAAACCCAUCAAAAAAAGAUGGUCUAUCCAAACUGACAGGUUAAGCAGGCUUGUUUGCUGACAGAGUAAACUGACCAGUUCAAGGUAUUAAAUUGAAAGGGAUGAAUCUGACAACGCUGAUCUGUGUGUGAGCAGGAGACUGGGACAUAUGCACAGGCCCAGCUCAGAGGGAGACGUCAGCCUUUACAAACCUCAAAGUCUAGGGAAGUAGGCUAUGCUUAGAAUGGAGUAGCUU